CAAGGUAGCAGAGCAGCAGAGCAGCAGAGUGACGGUGUUGGUGCUGGAUGUGAGGAUGGGGCACACUGUGCUCUGUGUGCUGGGGUUAUUCUUGCUGAAUACACUCCUCUCAGGACUGGAUGAUGGUGACUAUUCUACUGGUCCAAUCCUGGAAAGUCCUGCAUUCACUUUGUUUGAAGGAGACUCUGUGACUCUGCGCUGUAGGAAUCAUGCUUCAAGUAAUGAGAAGAAAGCUACCUUUUUCAAAGACGGAUCACCUGUUAAA